CACACUUCUAACUUGUGUUUCAUGUACUUCCGGAUCAUAGACUGGAAACUCCUUGAACAGAUCCCGUCUUACACCUGUCAUGGCACUGGGCCUCACCACAGUCUCUAGUACAUGGAACACUCUCAGAUACGCCUCCCCUCCUCUGGAAGGAUGAUAAUGAAUGGAGAGAGAAGUGUGAAUCUGAGGAAUUCUGAGAGCCAAGAGUUACAGCAGCCAGGGGCUCCAAGACCCUCUAGCCCAACAAGACAAGGAUCAGAGUGGAUAUGUCGCGGAGCGGAGUGGCAGGGCACAGCUGGGGAGCCGCACGACGCAGGGAGUGUGAAGAGCCAGGAAGGACUGGUGGCCUGAGAAGGUGGUCCAACCAGGUCACAGUGCCACGGGCAGGAGAAACAGCGGGCUCCAGAGACACACCCUGGCGGCCUUAGUUGUCUGCCCAGACCACAGAGGACCGGGGACCCAACGUGAGGGUGCCUGGCACCACCUGGAAUGGGCCCGUGGGCCGCCACUAGCUUUCCUGGGCCACCUCCACUCCUCUAGCAAUGCUGACCUAUUUGCGGGUUUUUCAAAUGUACCUCCCUUUCUUGCAUCUGUGUGCUUUUUCUGUAAGAUGUUUUCUAAAACCCUCUCCUCCAAUUCCCACACCACACUGCCGAAAGUGUUGUCCUUCAAGAUGGUGUCGCUUGCUUAUGUGAAACCUAUGCCCUCCCACCAGCGCUUAUAGGAAGGCAGCCAAACGCGGCAUCCAAUGCUCUUCCCAAUCUGCCCAAACCCACCUCUCGCAGCCCUUCUGUGGCCCCCUCCCGUGGCACCUGCCGUUCUCCCGUAAAUACUCCGCAAAGCCUUCCCUGACUCUCCGAGGCAGGACUGACUGCCCUUUGGCCCGUGUUCCCUCACCCCUGGCUUUAUACCAGCAUUGCCCUCACCAGUGUUCAGCGCGUUACGUACAAAGGUGUGUGAUUUCAGUUCCUCCGACUGGGAGGCCAUGGCAGGCAGGGGCUCUGUCUCAUUCAUCUUUGUAUCAAUAGUGCCAGAGUGGGUAAUCCAAGUGGAAAAGUCCAAAAGGUGAUGUAUGAAUGGGUGAGCUAAUGCAUAGGUGAAUUUACACAAAAUGCCAGACCAAUUUGGCAAUAUUUAGAAAAAUAUCGUCUUGGACAAAGGAUAUAGCUAAGAGUUCAUCCCUACAUCAGAGCAAAACAACUGGCAACUUAUGUUUACGCCUUUGUUCUCAAAGAGAACCUAUUUAUUUAUUAUUUAUUUUUUAA
rnacentral:lncRNA from 1 species